CACUCCGGCGCACCCCUUCUCUCCCGGCGGCACGCCCCUCCUCUCCCGGAGGCGGCCCUCCCCACUCCGGCGGCGGCCCUCCUUUCCCGGCGGCGGCGAGGGGUGAGGGGCGGCGGCACCCUGUCGAGUCGGGCUGAGCAGGAAGCCCGCGGCGGCCAGAAGAUCUUCAACAUCUCGCCAAGAACCCGAGGACUGGAUUGGCACCACGGCAGGGCCAAGUAAGGCGCGGUGGAGGGAUGCUUCAACGGCAUGUGGUGCUCGUCGGUGGCGACCACAUCCCUCAAUGGAACAGCAGCAGCAGAAAUUUGGAGAGGUCCAGCAGCGACGACCUCGACCUGCCUGGUAGUGGUGACAUGUGUGGUGAUCUGCAAGGUCCUCCGAUUGUAGCUCUUACCAGUGAUGAUUUGGACUCCCUAUCAACGGUGCCGUACCCAUCCAGCGGCGGCCCUUCUGGUGCUUUCGAACAAGCGGCCAACGGCAACCCAUUUGUGAAUGAGCUUCAGGCAGUUCGAUUCAGUACAGUAGCAACUGCUGUUAUUUGUUCAGUUUUCAAUUAAUUGUGUGGCCACCAGCUUGGCUCUUGAACAAGAUCGAGUUGCAAAUGAAAAACUACUUCUUGAGGUUAGGAGGCAGGAGGUCCAGUUGCAGAAAAGGAGGGAUGAAGAGAGGAUUAUGACCAUGGAUCUUACUGCCAUGCCAGAUGAGCAAAAGAAAUACUACAUGUGCUUGCGGGCUGAGAUCAUGAGCCGAGUACUUAAUUAGAAUUUGAUUCUUCUAAAUGGUAUUAGUAGCUAAUGUGAUUUUUUUUGAUAUGGUAGUAUUUCCAUAUGGUACUGUGUGAUGUUCGAAACUUAAUUAGUAUUUGAAUCUUUUAAAGAGUAGUAUUUCCAUAUGGUAUUAACGUGGAUUUGAAGCGUCUUGUGUCGAUUUUAAUGUUUGCUCAGUCAA